rnacentral:rRNA from 1 species
UAUUUUCCUUUUUUGCCAGCAGCCGCGGUAAUACGUAGGGGGCAAGCGUUAUCCGGAUUUACUGGGUGUAAAGGGAGCGUAGACGGCAAGGCAAGUCUGAUGUGAAAACCCAGGGCUUAACCCUGGGACUGCAUUGGAAACUGUCUGGCUCGAGUGCCGGAGAGGUAAGCGGAAUUCCUAGUGUAGUGGUGAAAUGCGUAGAUAUUAGGAAGAACACCAGUGGCGAAGGCGGCUUACUGGACGGUAACUGACGUUGAGGCUCGAAAGCGUGGGGAGCAAACAGG